UACGUAGGGUGCGAGCGUUUGUCCGGAAUUACUGGGCGUAAAGAGCUCGUAGGUGGUUUGUCGCGUUGUUCGUGAAAUCUCACGGCUUAACUGUGAGCGUGCGGGCGAUACGGGCAGACUAGAGUACUGCAGGGGAGACUGGAAUUCCUGGUGUAGCGGUGGAAUGCGCAGAUAUCAGGAGGAACACCGGUGGCGAAGGCGGGUCUCUGGGCAGUAACUGACACUGAGGAGCGAAAGCGUGGGGAGCGAACAGG
rnacentral:rRNA from 1 species